AGAGCUUUGUAUCUGCUUGGAGGUGG
rnacentral:piRNA from 1 species